GACGAACGCUGGCGGCGUGCUUAACACAUGCAAGUCGAACGGAAAGGCCCUGCUUUUGUGGGGUGCUCGAGUGGCGAACGGGUGAGUAACACGUGAGUAACCUGCCCUUGACUUUGGGAUAACUUCAGGAAACUGGGGCUAAUACCGGAUAGGAGCUCCUGCUGCAUGGUGGGGGUUAGAAAGUUUCGGCGGUUGGGGAUGGACUCGCGGCUUAUCAGCUUGUUGGUGGGGUAGUGGCUUACCAAGGCUUUGACGGGUAGCCGGCCUGAGAGGGUGACCGGCCACAUUGGGACUGAGAUACGGCCCAGACUCCUACGGGAGGCAGCAGUGGGGAAUAUUGCACAAUGGGCGGAAGCCUGAUGCAGCAACGCCGCGUGCGGGAUGACGGCCUUCGGGUUGUAAACCGCUUUCGCCUGUGACGAAGCGUGAGUGACGGUAAUGGGUAAAGAAGCACCGGCUAACUACGUGCCAGCAGCCGCGGUGAUACGUAGGGUGCGAGCGUUGUCCGGAUUUAUUGGGCGUAAAGGGCUCGUAGGUGGUUGAUCGCGUCGGAAGUGUAAUCUUGGGGCUUAACCCUGAGCGUGCUUUCGAUGCGGGUUGACUUGAGGAAGGUAGGGGAGAAUGGAAUUCCUGGUGGAGCGGUGGAAUGCGCAGAUAUCAGGAGGAACACCAGUGGCGAAGGCGGUUCUCUGGGCCUUUCCUGACGCUGAGGAGCGAAAGCGUGGGGAGCGAACAGGCUUAGAUACCCUGGUAGUCCACGCUGUAAACGGUGGGUACUAGGUGUGGGGUCCAUUCCACGGGUUCCGUGCCGUAGCUAACGCUUUAAGUACCCCGCCUGGGGAGUACGGCCGCAAGGCUAAAACUCAAAGGAAUUGACGGGGCCCCGCACAAGCGGCGGAGCAUGCGGAUUAAUUCGAUGCAACGCGUAGAACCUUACCUGGGUUUGACAUGGAUCGGGAGUGCUCAGAGAUGGGUGUGCCUCUUUUGGGGUCGGUUCACAGGUGGUGCAUGGCUGUCGUCAGCUCGUGUCGUGAGAUGUUGGGUUAAGUCCCGCAACGAGCGCAACCCUUGUUCACUGUUGCCAGCACGUUAUGGUGGGGACUCAGUGGAGACCGCCGGGGUCAACUCGGAGGAAGGUGGGGAUGACGUCAAGUCAUCAUGCCCCUUAUGUCCAGGGCUUCACGCAUGCUACAAUGGCUGGUACAGAGAGUGGCGAGCCUGUGAGGGUGAGCGAAUCUCGGAAAGCCGGUCUCAGUUCGGAUUGGGGUCUGCAACUCGACCUCAUGAAGUCGGAGUCGCUAGUAAUCGCAGAUCAGCAACGCUGCGGUGAAUACGUUCCCGGG
rnacentral:rRNA from 1 species